AUAUGCACAGCCUCCCCCGAGUGCCGGCCGCGGGAUGCCGCCACCCCGGGGGCUCCCCGCCGAGCCCCGCCGCCCCCCCGCGCCCCUCGCCGGGGGUGGGGGCUGCCUUUGGAGAUCAGCGGUUCGCUUCUGCCCUUACCCUUUGGCUCAUCCAUCAGUGCUGGUGCUCGCUCCCUCCCUCUUCCUCUCUCAGCCUCCGCCGGCUCCGAGCUGCCUUAGUGAGAGAAGACUGAGCAGAUACACCAAGGACACAGGAACUGCCCUGAGAAGAGAUGACCUUCCUUGUUUCCAAAUAUGAGGUCCCGCCCACGGGGAAAAACCCCACCAAAUCACGAAAGGAGACAAAGUUGCAAUAGCUACUCAAAAGUCAUCUCCUGUACCUACCUGUCUCAUAGAAUGAGCUCAUACCUCCAGCUGCAUCUCCAGGGGACUUCAGGAAAGAGCCAAUUUUAGCCUACUUGCCUGGAAGGCCUGAAAGAAACCCACCCUCCACCACUUUUUAUCCCUGACAGACUUCACACAAAUUAGAAAUACAAGACAGUGCUGGAAGAGUCUCAGCAACUUUUCUCCAUAUCUUCUGACAUUCAAGUCCCAUUCCAGGCAUGGCAAGUGGCCCCACGCUCCCAACCUACAGAUUUGUCAGCCUCCCACUCCAAAGGAAGUUGCCAACCACCCUAGCUCUUUUGCUUCCUUCUCAGACCGGUGAAGACCAGCUUCCCAGCAUCUUCCCUGCUAGUUACCCAGAAGGUGAAGCCACUGGAGCACAGGCCAUGAGCACCUGCAGGCAGCUGCUAUGCCCUGCCCGUGCCAGAACCUGCUCCCCUCUCAGAAGUGUCACUUUAUCUUUGCAGUUGGACAAGUGAGUGCACAUCCGUACAGCUGGACACCAUCCAGCUCUGUGCCUACCACCAGCUUCCAGAGGUCUUGCCCCAAAGAGAGGCAGGAAGAGCAGGAUUCUGAUGCUAGGACCUGGAGAACCACACCUGGACAUGGGCUUUCAAAUCCCUUUGCAGCCUUGUCACAAACAAUGACCAGUACUUUCUCCUUCACAAAUAAACGUUCACUUGGCUUGCAUCACUCCAACUGACAAUACAACACUCCUGUUUAUAAUCUUUCUGAGAACAGGAAAAUAGGGAUCAACAAAAUAAAACAAUAUACAUAAUUAA